CCUACGGGAGGCAGCAGUAGGGAAUCUUCCACAAUGGACGAAACCCUGAUGCAGCGACGCCGCGUGAGUGAAGAAGGAUUUCGGUAUGUAAAGCUCUAUCAGCAGGGAAGAAAGUGACGGUACCUGACUAAGAAGCCCCGGCUAACUACGUGCCAGCAGCCGCGGUAAUACGUAGGGGGCAAGCGUUCUCCGGAUUUACUGGGUGUAAAGGGAGCGGAGACGGUCAGACAAGUCAGAAGUGAAAGCCUAGGGCUCAACCCUGGGACUGCUUCUGAAACUGCCAGGCUGGAGUGCAGGAGAGGUAAGCGGAAUUCCUAGUGUAGCGGUGAAAUGCGUAGAUAUUAGGAGGAACACCAGUGGCGAAGGCGGCUUACUGGACUGCAACUGACGUUGAGGCUCGAAAGCGUGGGGAGCAAACAGGAUUAGAUACCCGAGUAGUC
rnacentral:rRNA from 1 species